rnacentral:rRNA from 1 species
GCNGGCNSCSAAAUNGCCCAAUGUCAAAAAAAAACGAUGAGGCAGCGAAAAGAAAUAGAGCCNANCGUGCCUUUUGUAUUGUCGUUUUCAAUGGGGGAUAUUUAAACCCAUCCAAAAUCGAGUAACAAUUGGAGGACAAGUCUGGUGCCAGCACCCGCGGUAAUUCCAGCUCCAAAARCGUAUAUUAAU